GACGAACGCUGGCGGCGUGCUUAACACAUGCAAGUCGAGCGGUAAGGCCCUUUCGGGGGUACACAAGCGGCGAACGGGUGAGUAACACGUGGGUGACCUGCCCUCAGCUCUGGGAUAAGCCUGGGAAACCGGGUCUAAUACUGGAUAUGACUCCAUGACGCAUGUUGUGGGGUGGAAAGCCUUGUGCGGCUGAGGAUGGGCCCGCGGCCUAUCAGCUUGUUGGUGGGGUGANGGCCUACCAAGGCGACGACGGGUAGCCGGCCUGAGAGGGCGACCGGCCACACUGGGACUGAGACACGGCCCAGACUCCUACGGGAGGCAGCAGUGGGGAAUCUUGCGCAAUGGGCGAAAGCCUGACGCAGCGACG
rnacentral:rRNA from 1 species